CGCCAGACUCCUACGGGAGGCAGCAGUGAGGAAUAUUGGUCAAUGGGCGGGAGCCUGAACCAGCCAAGCCGCGUGAAGGAAGAAGGCGCCAAGCGUCGUAAACUUCUUUUGUCGGGGAACAAAGGGCGCCACGUGUGGCGUUGUGAGUGUACCCGAAGAAAAAGCAUCGGCUAACUCCGUGCCAGCAGCCGCGGUAAUACGGAGGAUGCGAGCGUUAUCCGGAUUUAUUGGGUUUAAAGGGUGCGUAGGCGGUCCGGAAAGUCAGCGGUAAAAGCCCGGGGCUCAACGUGGGAACUGCCUUUGAAACUGGCAAACUGGAGUGUGUGAGAGGAUAGUGGAAUUCCAGGUGUAGGAGUGAAAUCCGUAGAUAUCUGGAGGAACAUCAGUGGCGAAGGCGACUAUCUGGCACAUAACUGACGCUGAGGAGCGAAAGCGUGGGUAGCAAACAGGAUUAGAUACCCUUGUAAA
rnacentral:rRNA from 1 species